rnacentral:rRNA from 1 species
UACGUAGGGGGCAAGCGUUAUCCGGAUUUACUGGGUGUAAAGGGAGUGUAGGCGGCAUGGCAAGUCAGAAGUGAAAGCCCGGGGCUCAACCCCGGGACUGCUUUUGAAACUGCCGUGCUAGAGUGCAGGAGAGGUAAGUGGAAUUCCUAGUGUAGCGGUGAAAUGCGUAGAUAUUAGGAGGAACACCAGUGGCGAAGGCGGCUUACUGGACUGUAACUGACGCUGAGGCUCGAAAGCGUGGGGAGCAAACAGG